UGUGAGGGACCUUCCUCCUCUUCAUGUCACCGGCCCAAAUGAUACCACUCCUUUUAUCACUUUACAACUUGUUAAUUCCUUACCCCGGGACCUCUUCAUCUGUAGUAAACAUCUUAAGAAAAUAUGCAUCCCUCGAGAGGAACUGUUAAUUUCCUCCGGGCCUCACGCAUGUAAUAAGGUUUUUUUUUUUUUUAAUGGCAUGCAGGUGUUUUGCAAAAUUGUAUCAGGGCUGGUAAUAAAAGUUCCCCGUAAAAAGCAGGUAGCACCUUGGAAAAAGGAAAAUGUUUGUGCACCUGUCUGUGGAGAGGCUGAGGGAGUCUUGACCUUCAGCAAGCUCUCGUCAGCAUUGCCCGAGCAAAUUGAGAGCUCCCCUAAACGCCAAAAGAAUGCAAGAUGGGAAGAAUCACAUAUCUGGACACCGAACUACCCUCGCACAUGGAAAGCCAGUACCUCAAGAAAACCAGGACACUUCUCCUGAUGUACUAACUUUCCGUAUACUGAGAGACAUCCUUCUGGGGGAGCAUCUGAAUGUGCAGUUUCUCCAUCUAAAUGUUCUCGCCUGCUUGCCCCUGAUUUGUUAAACUCUGCUUUGGGAAGAAAACAAAGAGGUGCACAGA